rnacentral:lncRNA from 1 species
UAGGCAACAAUGGCUCUUUGUUUCCUUUGAAAGCAGAAAAAAGACAGCGUUUUGUUUGCCUCCUGAGCUCACCUGUCUUUUUAUGCUGUCAGAAGUUUCGGAAGCUCAGCCAUCCUCUUGGUUAGAAGUCUCCAUUUCGUUCUUUCCUUCUUUUAGUACGGAUUCCUUUUUGAUUACUCAGAGCUUCUUAUAAAGCUGUCUCUGGAGCCUUCUCAGUCCGGGUUCAAAAUGUGGUCACUUACUCUUUGAAGCACAAAACACAAGUCAAAAGAGCUAAUUUUUCUGUUCUGCAGUCAUGACCACACCACUAACCAAAACAGUCAAAUGUAAGUUCUUACUAAAAAUGAUUGAGAAAAUCUUUCAAUCUUUCCUCACUGUUGAUUUUGUUAAUUCACUGGGUUCCUGAAACCCAGUUAAGUCUUCAGAUGUAAAAACUGGAUAUAUGUGACAUGGAGCACGUCUCACUUAAACUAUUAGCCAGGUAGUUGUGAGUGAAUAUAUACAUUGAUAUAUUUUUGCACCUCUCAUUCUUUUGGACUUCACCCCUCUGCACAGAGAUGUAUAUCUAGAGGAAGAUAGAUUCUCUUUUGGAUUAAGGUGUAUCAGUAACUUGUCACUUCACCCUACUGAUUAACUGUUCAGUAUCUGUAGACACGAAAUGAUCCACAUUCUCCUGCCAGCAGCUAUCUUGGAAUCAAGUCACAGAAGUCUUCAUCGCAGCCUUGUUCUCAGCAGCGCUGUAUUCCUAUGCUGUCGUCACAAUGUAGCUGCCAUCUACGCUAUUGGCCUCUUGCAUCAGAGCUGCAAAAUGGAGGCUUGAGGAAGAAAAAGAAGAUGUAAUUGUCAGGAGAAAGAGAAAUGGGCUGGGUCUCUCUUGUCAUCUCUUGUUGUAAGACAAGACCUGUCCAAAGAGACAGGAAGAGAUAAUCAGACUGAGCUAAUGGAAUAUUGUUACCAUCAAGUACCACACCAAAAACUGGAGGGAUGGGAGAAGGCAAAUGCUCUUCUUAUUAGUGGAAAUGAGAAUCUCAGCCCGGAAUCCAUUAAGCCACCUUGGAUGAAACAGGAAGAAUCUAACACAGCAAGACUUCAAGACUGUCUCCAUGACUUGGUGUUUGCAUGUACUGCUGUGAUUGUGUCAGAGGAGGCACUACAGCUUACUUGACAGAUCAGUGCCCUGGGAUACAGGUUUUAUUCUCAGCUUUGGAUAGCCAUGUGAACUCAAGCAAAACAUUUUCC